UACGUAGGUGGCAAGCGUUGUCCGGAAUUAUUGGGCGUAAAGAGCGUGUAGGCGGCCCGAUUAGUCCGCUGUGAAAGUCCAGGGCUCAACCCUGGAAUGCCGGUGGAAACUGUCGGGCUAGAGUCCGGAAGGGGCGAGUGGAAUUCCUGGUGUAGCGGUGAAAUGCGCAGAUAUCAGGAGGAACACCAAUGGCGAAGGCAGCUCGCUGGGACGUGACUGACGCUGAGACGCGAAGGCGUGGGGAGCAAACAGG
rnacentral:rRNA from 1 species